GAUUAAGUGUCGUAAGGGCAUUUGGUGGAUGCCUUGGCAUGCACAGGCGAUGAAGGACGUGAUACGCUGCGAAAAGCCGUGGGGAGCUGCGAAUGAGCUUUGAUCCAUGGAUCUCCGAAUGGGGCAACCCACCUUAAAUACCUAGAAAAUCAUUCUGGUUGUCGGGUCUUCGACCCGACGUUACGGCGAGCGAUCGCCGACGGCCUCUGGCCUGUAUGGGAACUUCCCAAUACAGCGCAGAGCGCGUCGCCGGUCGUCCGGCGCGCCCACGCAGCGCUGCACGAAGUGCGGAACAAGCGUGAGUGAAAACCCGAAUGGUUUCUAGGUAUUGUGAUAAGGUAUCUACACCUGAAUACAUAGGGUGUAAGAAGCGAACGCAGGGAACUGAAACAUCUAAGUACCUGCAGGAAAGGACAUCAACCGAGACUCCGCAAGUAGUGGCGAGCGAACGCGGACCAGGCCAGUGGCAAUUGUGAUUAAAGUGGAACGCUCUGGAAAGUGCGGCCGUAGUGGGUGACAGCCCCGUACGCGUAGAUAUCAUGAUUGUCCUAGAGUAGGGCGGGACACGAGAAAUCCUGUCUGAACAUGGGGAGACCACUCUCCAAGCCUAAGUACUCGUGCAUGACCGAUAGCGAACAAGUACCGUGAGGGAAAGGUGAAAAGCACCCCGACAAGGGGAGUGAAAUAGAACCUGAAACCGGAUGCCUACAAACAGUCGGAGCCCGCAAGGGUGACGGCGUACCUUUUGUAUAAUGGGUCAACGACUUAGUGUAACAAGCAAGCUUAAGCCGGUAGGUGUAGGCGCAGCGAAAGCGAGUCUGAAUAGGGCGAUAUAGUUUGUUGCAUUAGACCCGAAACCGAGUGAUCUAGCCAUGAGCAGGUUGAAGGUUGGGUAACACCAACUGGAGGACCGAACCCGCAUCUGUUGCAAUAGAUUGGGAUGACUUGUGGCUAGGGGUGAAAGGCCAAUCAAACUCGGAAAUAGCUGGUUCUCCGCGAAAUCUAUUUAGGUAGAGCGUCGAGCGAAUACCCCCGGGGGUAGAGCACUGGAUGGGCUAUGGGGACUCACCGUCUUACUGAUCCUAACCAAACUCCGAAUACCGGGGAGUACUACUCGGCAGACACACGGCGGGUGCUAACGUCCGUCGUGAAAAGGGCAACAACCCUAACCUCCAGCUAAGGUCCCCAAGUCAUGGCUAAGUGGGAAAGGAUGUGAGGAUCCCAAAACAACCAGGAUGUUGGCUUAGAAGCAGCCAUCAUUUAAAGAAAGCGUAACAGCUCACUGGUCUAAAUAAGGGUCUUUGCGCCGAAAAUGUAACGGGGCUGAAGCCAUGCACCGAAGCUGAGGAUUCCUCGCNNNNNNNNNNNNNNNNNNNNNNNNNNNNNNNNNNNNNNNNNNNNNNNNNNNNNNNNNNNNNNNNNNNNNNNNNNNNNNNNNNNNNNNNNNCUUUUUAAGAGGAGUGGUAGCGGAGCGUUCCGUAAGCUGAUGAAGGGAGACCCGUGAGGGCUCCUGGAGGUAUCGGAAGUGCGAAUGUUGACAUGAGUAACGAUAAAGAGGGUGAGAGACCCUCUCGCCGAAAGACCAAGGGUUCCUGCUUAAAGUUAAUCUGAGCAGGGUUAGCCGGCCCCUAAGACGAGGCGGACACGCGUAGUCGAUGGGAACCACGUUAAUAUUCGUGGGCCUGGUGGUAGUGACGGAUUGCACAAGUUGUUCUGGUUUAUUGGAUUAUCAGGGCAGCGGAGCGGUUCCAGGAAAUAGCUCCACCGUAUAGACCGUACCCGAAACCGACACAGGUGGUCAGGUAGAGUAUACCAAGGCGCUUGAGAGAACUAUGUUGAAGGAACUCGGCAAAUUGCACGCGUAACUUCGGAAGAAGCGUGACCCCAUUUUAGGCAACUAUGAUGGGGUGGCACAGACCAGGGGGUAGCGACUGUUUAUCAAAAACACAGGGCUCUGCGAAGUCGCAAGACGACGUAUAGGGUCUGACGCCUGCCCGGUGCUGGAAGGUUAAGAGGAGAGGUGCAAGCUUUGAAUCGAAGCCCCAGUAAACGGCGGCCGUAACUAUAACGGUCCUAAGGUAGCGAAAUUCCUUGUCGGGUAAGUUCCGACCUGCACGAAUGGCGUAACGACUUCCCCGCUGUCUCCAACAUAGACUCAGUGAAAUUGAAUUCCCCGUGAAGAUGCGGGGUUCCUGCGGUCAGACGGAAAGACCCCGUGCACCUUUACUAUAGCUUUACACUGGCAUUCGUGUCGGCAUGUGUAGGAUAGGUGGUAGGCUUUGAAGCGGGGACGCCAGUUUCCGUGGAGCCAUCCUUGAAAUACCACCCUUAUCGUCAUGGAUGUCUAACCGCGGCCCGUCAUCCGGGUCCGGGACAGUGUAUGGUGGGUAGUUUGACUGGGGCGGUCGCCUCCGAAAGAGUAACGGAGGCGCGCGAUGGUGGGCUCAGACCGGUCGGAAAUCGGUCGUCGAGUGCAAUGGCAUAAGCCCGCCUGACUGCGAGACUGACAAGUCGAGCAGAGACGAAAGUCGGUCAUAGUGAUCCGGUGGUCCCGUGUGGAAGGGCCAUCGCUCAACGGAUAAAAGGUACGCCGGGGAUAACAGGCUGAUGACCCCCAAGAGUCCAUAUCGACGGGGUUGUUUGGCACCUCGAUGUCGGCUCAUCGCAUCCUGGGGCUGGAGCAGGUCCCAAGGGUUUGGCUGUUCGCCAAUUAAAGCGGUACGUGAGCUGGGUUCAGAACGUCGUGAGACAGUUCGGUCCCUAUCUGCCGUGGGUGUAGGAAUAUUGACAGGAUCUGUCCCUAGUACGAGAGGACCGGGAUGGACAUAUCUCUGGUGGACCUGUUGUCCUGCCAAGGGCAUAGCAGGGUAGCUAUAUAUGGACGGGAUAACCGCUGAAGGCAUCUAAGCGGGAAACCCACCUGAAAACGAGUGUUCCCUAUCAGAGCCGUGGAAGACGACCACGUUGAUAGGCCGGGUGUGGAAGUGCGGCAACGCAUGAAGCUUACCGGUACUAAUAGCUCGAUCGGCUUGAUCGU
rnacentral:rRNA from 1 species